GGUUUGUGGCUCAGUGGUUCAGUGCUCACCUCACAUGUGUGAGGUCCUGGGUUCGAUCCUCAGCACCA
rnacentral:tRNA from 1 species